UCCGGGCUCUGGUUCCAGUCCUCCCUGGCUGAUCUCGGCCACUUUUCUAUUACAUAUCAUUCAUUGCUUUCUAGAGGCACUGUGUGGAAGAAACUAUUUGAGGACACUGUAAGCCUGGCAGCACUGAGAAACCCUCAGUUCUUCAAUAUUGAUAUACCUGCAGCUGUCAACAUUUGGUUUGUUUUAAAGCAGAGACUUGAAGUCAUUUCCAUAUUUAUGAACACAAACAGGCUCACUGUCAUCCCAUGGCUAUGGACACCUGAGUUUGAAGAAGAUCCUUUUUUAAGGAACAGGACAAAUGGAAAGACAGACAUUACUGACCUCUGAGACUAAAAACUUCAAAAUUUUAAAUCAAACUGUUCAAUUCUCUGAUGUUUCCUCACAAAUUAUGUGUUUUAUUUCCUUCCCCAACCUGAGAUACCUCACUUCUUUAUUCCCAUCAAAGCUUUUUUCCCCCAGCUUUGAGUCCAUGGCUGUUAUUACCCCGUUUUUCCAGCCCCUCUGGCAACUGCCAUUACCAUGUUGGCCCCUUUUUUUGGAAUAUUUUACAUACCACAUUCAAGGCAAGCAGAAUGUCACAUAUUCCCAACCAUAUUCACUAAGACAUUUUUUCUAAAGAAAUUAAAGACCCCUGAAUUCACUAUCCGGGCUUCUCCUAAGUUUGUUCUUCAUUUGCUUUGCAAGACCCAAAACUUCACCCCUGAUUCCCCUUAAUAGUAAUACAAACUAACACGUUCAACAGGAUGUUUUCAAAUUUGAAUGUGUCAAAGCCUUUGAUAAAGCAGAUUUUCACUUCAUUUUUCUUAAUAAACCCAUAAAUAGCUUGCUGCUGCUCAGUAGAUCACUUCACACAUGUCUAGGCAUACUAAUAGCAAUCUCCAAACAAGACUCCAGACAAGAUUCAAUUUUAGCAUCUUCUGCCCUAUCUUUCCAGAGAUGUUACUUUCUCAGCAUGCUUCUAACUCACCAAAGUGUCAGCCCUCUUCCUAAAUAAGCUUUUCCCAGGCAGAACAAUUUCUUCUGGCUGUGGUCUCCCAGUUCCUCUUUCAAAGACCUUUGCAGGAGAAUCUGCUUGGCUCCAGAAGGAGAUAACAGAGUUAGCCAUUCUCCUUGAUUUUUCUGGUAACGUGAAGUGUACAUACCUCAUCACAGCUUUUCAGUAUCCGACUUCCUUCCGGUUUCUUCCUACUUUCUGGUGCAAUCCUAGAAAGUGUGCCUUCUUGACAAUCCCCUACAUGUGUUUUUGCUUCUUCCUAUGCUGGGCUCAGGUCGUUCCGUGGUUUUACAGUCUCUUGGUACAUACCUGUAUCCCUUUCACUCCUGGCUUCAAUAAUUUGCAACAGCAAUCAGUCAGUUUGCAAAGGCAAUGCAAUAAACCAUCUGUAUGUGAGCAUGGCAUAACCAGUAGCUAUAGUAACAGGAAAGCACACUUUAAAUAAAAAAAUGAAAAACAAACAAAAAAAUCUGAGCAAUAUCGCUCAGCUUUUCCUCCACCCCCAAAUAUUACAUGGCUCCAUAAAUAUCCUCUUGUGUUCCUUCACCUAAUUACAUCUUCCCCUAGCCCAAAACAGAAUGAGAUACAAAUAAAACUUUAUUUUGGAGGAAAAAUAAAUAAAUAAUAACACACAACAAAACUAGAAAGAAAAGCUUGUCUCUUUCCAGAAAAGAAGAAAAAAUAAAUCUGUAAGUUGCAAAUCCAGGACAGGCAAAAUUGUCACUAUCCCCGUUCUGCCUUAUUUGCUGAUACACAGUCUUAGGACCCUUGUGGGCUGUGAAAUUAAUUUCCAUUGUUCCUUUUUUAUUGUCUUGUUUCCUCAGUAAUCUCCCUGCCUGCAGUGAACCAUCAGCAUGGCCACUGUCUCUCAGUUCCAUCUCACAUGUAAGGGGGCUGCAUAGUAUUUAUUCUUACUCCUCAAAAAAAUGGAUGGGGUGCA